UACAGAGGUCUCAAGCGUUGUUCGGAUUCAUUGGGCGUAAAGGGUGCGUAGGUGGCGGGGUAAGUCAGGUGUGAAAUUUCGGAGCUUAACUCCGAAACUGCAUUUGAUACUGCCUUGCUUGAGGACUGGAGAGGAGACUGGAAUUCACGGUGUAGCAGUGAAAUGCGUAGAGAUCGUGAGGAAGACCAGUGGCGAAGGCGGCUCACUGGCCCGAUACUGACGCUGAGGCACGAAAGCGUGGGGAGCAAACAGG
rnacentral:rRNA from 1 species